rnacentral:piRNA from 1 species
UUCUUGUAAGAUAGAUGGGGGCUUUGUCU